rnacentral:pre_miRNA from 1 species
GAUAUCAACUGAAAAAGUCAUCAACAACAAAGUUGAAUAACUCAUCAAGAUCUAAAACUUUUAUUUUGGUCAUUUCUUCAUACGACAAAGUGACAGUAACAUUGUUCACAAAAUUAACAUAUCUCUUAUCUGGUUUUAUAAACUAUAACACAUAUAUGUAAAAUUUGUGAAUAAUAUUGCUAACAUUUUGUCGGAUGAAGAAAUAACAAAAAUAAAAGUUCUAGAUCUUGAUGAGUUAUUCAACUUUGUUGUUGAUGACUUUUUCAAUUGAAAUC